rnacentral:rRNA from 1 species
AACGUAGGUGGCGAGCGUUAUCCGGAAUUACUGGGCGUAAAGCGUGUGCAGGCGGGCAACCAAGUGGGGUAUGAAAUCUCCCGGCUCAACCGGGAAGGGUUAUGCCAGACUGGUUGUCUUGAGUGCGAGAGAGGAAUGUGGAAUUCCGGGUGUAGUGGUGAAAUGCGUAGAUAUCCGGAGGAACACCAGUGGCGAAAGCGGCCACCUGGACUGCACCUGACGCUGACACGCGAAAGCUAGGGGAGCGAACGGG